CCUUUUAAUGCCAAAGUUAAUUUGUCCAUCUCUGCACAACUUGAUAUUUUUUGAAUAAUCAUUUCCUCUGAUGGAAUACGAGGUUGUUUCCAACAUUGUGCAAAGGCCAGUCUGGCCGCUAUCAAAAUAUGUACUAUUGUAUACUUCACUUUUGGGGGGAAUUGUUUAUUAAAUAUCCCUAAUAGAAAGAGUUCUGUUGCUCUAACAUCUGUAAAUUGAGAUGAAUUG